rnacentral:sRNA from 1 species
GGGGCAACGUGCGCAGUUCCCUUCAGUGUGUGGAAGCUUUGUUCUUUUGCUCUUCACCAUAAAUCUUGCUGCUGCUCACUGUUUGGGUCUGCACCACCUUUAAGAGCUGUAACACUCACCAUGAAGGUCUGCAGCUUCAUUCUUGAAGUCAGUGAGACCACGAACCCACUGGAAGGAACCAACUCCAGACACAACAGUGCACUGGGUCUGACCCUUGGGAAGAAUCCAGCACGAGAAAGCAACCCCAAAGAAACACUCGCAAUUCAGUGCCGACGUGGCCGAGGCCAUUGCCUUCUUUGACUCCAUCAUUGCAGAGCUGGAUACAGAGAGACGGCCCCGGGCUGCCGAGGCCAGCCUGCCAAAUGAAGAUGUGGACUUUGACGUGGCCACCAGCUCCAGGGAGCACAGCUUGCAUUCUAACUGGAUCCUGCGGGCGCCACGCAGACACUCUGAGGAUAUCACUGCCCACACUGUGCAUACUGUAGACGGCCAGUUUCGAAGGAGCACCGAGUGCAGGACCGUGGGCACUCAGAGGAGACUCGAGAGGCACCCCAUUUAUUUGCCCAAGGCUGUGGAAGGGGCCUUCAACACCUGGAAAUUUAAGCCCAAAGCCUGCAAACAAGACCUGGGGAGCCCCAGACAGAUCCUUUUCAACUUCUCAGGAGAAGAUAUGGAGUGGGAUGCAGAGCUUUUUGCGUUGGAGUCCCAGCUGUCUCCUGGGGAGAACUACUAUGAGACAGAGAACCCCAAAGGACAGUGGCUGCUUCGAGAAAGACUUUGGGAGCGGACAGUGCCCUGACUCCAUCUGGAUUCCUUGACGUGUCUCAGGCUGGGUCCCUGAGAAGCUGUCUGCUUUCAGCGCAGCAUGAGGUAUUUGGUAGAGUUGAAAAUCCAAAUUGUAACACAGUCAACCCACUCAGCACACUGCCUGCUGGUGCCAUGCUAGUGCCAAACAGACCUGUGGCUUCCCAGGAUACAGGUCUCAGGACACUCUCAGAGCUUGAGUUUCUCUGCGUGGGCUGAUGAGCAGGGACUUACAGCCUGGCUGGUCUUCAAGAGCUGAAGGAAUGGAAGGUCUUGAGUGGAGUGUCUGGGCUCACUCCCCUGACCUCACCUGGCCUGGUCCUCAUUCUCCACAUGUCUGUCCAAGUGGCUGCUAGCAAUGUGCUCAGUACCAGAAAUGAACUCACCUGUAGAUUUCUGGGCCAAAGCUUCAAAGAGGUAGCUCCUCUUUCUAUGAGGCUCAGAGACACGCUGGAUCUGCACUGAGGUUGCCUUCUUGUGUGCAGAAUGCAGUUGAGAAAGCAGCUCCCUUUGCUCUCUUUUCAGAGUUUUUCAGAAACUCCUGCUUCAUUAAGCUAAGAUGAGGCUAAUGCCCUGGCAAUGGGGUGAGGGAAGAGGUAUGUCACGAGCCUGCCUGGGGGCCACACUGUUUCCUCAGGCCCCAAAACUCAGCUCCCCUUCACCUAGGCAAUUGACAAGAGAAGAAGGGAGAUGGGGUGAUUCUUUUUCUUUUUCUUCUAAUUCUUACCCAGAAAAAUCUUUUUAAAUAUCCACGGAACCAGUUUAUGACAGGCCACGCCUUUCCCUUUCCCCAGUUAAGAGAACAAUCAGAAUCAUUACGUUCUUUUGGUAUAGAAAGGAUUUCUGUAUUUUAGGAACUAUCUGAAUCAGAAUUACAUUUAAAAUAUAUUCUUUGUAUUUCUAAAUACUUUUUACAUUUUUGCAAUAGUUGUGCCCAU